GGUCAAGUUAUUAAGGGUGCAGGGCGGAUGCCUUGGCACUAGGAGCCGAUGAAGGACGUGAUAAGCUGCGAUAAGCUUCGGGGAGUUGCACGUAAACUUUGAUCCGAAGAUUUCCGAAUGAGGAAACUCACUUAGAGUAAUGUCUAAGUAUCAUUAAGUGAAUACAUAGCUUAAUGAGGGGAACUCAGGGAACUGAAACAUCUAAGUACCUGAAGGAAGAGAAAGAAAUUCGAUUCCGUAAGUAGCGGCGAGCGAACGCGGAUUAGCCCAAACCAAUAAAGUUUUCUUUAUUGGGGUUGCGGACAUAUCAUAACGAAGAGGUAUCGUAAUUGAAGAGGUUUGGAAAGACCCACCACAGAAGGUAAUAGUCCUGUAUGUUAAACGAGAAGACUUCAGAUAUGAUCCAGAGUACCACGGGACACGUGAAACCCUGUGGGAAGCAGGAGGGACCACCCUCCAAGGCUAAAUACUACCUAGUGACCGAUAGCGUAUAGUACCGUGAGGGAAAGGUGAAAAGAACCCCGGGAGGGGAGUGAAAUAGAACCUGAAACCCUGCACUUACAAGCUGUGGAAGCACAUUUCUUGUGUGACCGCGUACUUUUUGUAGAACGGGCCAACGAGUUACGUUAAGUAGCAAGGUUAAGCACUUAAGGUGUGGAGCCGUAGCGAAAGCGAGUUUUAACUGAGCGUUCAGUUACUUGACGUAGACCCGAAACCGGGCGACCUACCCAUGAGCAGGAUGAAGCGAAAGUAAAAUUUCGUGGAGGUCCGAACCCACGAGCGUUGAAAAGCUCGGGGAUGACUUGUGGGUAGCGGUGAAAUUCCAAUCGAGCCCGGAGAUAGCUGGUUCUCCCCGAAAUAGCUUUAGGGCUAGCCUCAAGG
rnacentral:rRNA from 1 species